rnacentral:lncRNA from 1 species
GGAAAAAUUUAUAGGACAGUUAGAAUUCAGUGUUUACCCUCUCCUAGGAAAAAUGGGGACCGAGAGCACUUACGUGGAGGGACGGUGAGGUUUGUACAUACUGUGUUUGGAGGGCAUUGCGGGUGUGUUUGCACAAUCACAGUCCUCACUCAUCCUCUGUUGUCUUCUCUUCUGUCCUGUUAAAUGCCCUGAGAGUCCUGAUCUUAAGGUUUAUUUGAAGUAAACAUUGUUACUUGAACGAAAUCUAGCAAACAAAACCACCAG